rnacentral:misc_RNA from 1 species
AACGCACAUUGCGCCCUUUGGUAUUCCUUAGGGCAUGCCUGUUCGAGCGUCAUAUCAAACCUUCAAGCUCAGCUUGGUCUUGGGCGAUCGUCCCGCCUCCUAGGCGCGGACCCGCCUGAAAUCCAUUGGCGGCCGGCACCCCUCAGGCUAUGAGCGCAGCAGAAUUGCGCCUCUAUGCCCGGGGAGCCUGCGCUCCAGCAAGCCCCUCGCACCCAUUUGACCUCGGAUCAGGCAGGGAUACCCGCUGAACUUAA